rnacentral:rRNA from 1 species
ACGCACGCUGGCGGCGUGCCUAAUACCUGCAAGUCGCACGCUUCUUUCCUCCCGAGUGCUUGCACUCAAUUGGAAAGAGGAGUGGCGGACGGGUGAGUAACACGUGGGUAACCUACCCAUCAGAGGGGGAUAACACUUGGAAACAGGUGCUAAUACCGCAUAACAGUUUAUGCCGCAUGGCAUAAGAGUGAAAGGCGCUUUCGGGUGUCGCUGAUGGAUGGACCCGCGGUGCAUUAGCUAGUUGGUGAGGUAACGGCUCACCAAGGCCACGAUGCAUAGCCGACCUGAGAGGGUGAUCGGCCACACUGGGACUGAGACACGGCCCAGACUCCUACGGGAGGCAGCAGUAGGGAAUCUUCGGCAAUGGACGAAAGUCUGACCGAGCAACGCCGCGUGAGUGAAGAAGGUUUUCGGAUCGUAAAACUCUGUUGUUAGAGAAGAACAAGGACGUUAGUAACUGAACGUCCCCUGACGGUAUCUAACCAGAAAGCCACGGCUAACUACGUG